CAUUCAGAGCCCCUAAUGCACGCUUUCUGCAUAAAUGCUUCACUGCAAGUCCAAACAGAACAUCAUAUCUCACCAUCUCAUGAUAUCAAGCUGCCAUGCAUUACUUUCUCUCCAUUAAAGAUGCACAUCCAUUUGCUUUCCGGUCGUGGACCGAGGAUUCUAAUGAUGGUCGCAUCAGUGCGGUCCUGAAGUUACCAAAUCGAGUCACUUGGGGAGAAUUUAAAUCAGCUUUGAGUCAAAUUAGUCUCAUCUAAAAGAUAAACUUAUGGACAGUUUUCAUAAUUUCCUUUUAUAAGUCUUUUAUUUUUACUUAUAGAGUCAUGAAUAAAUUUGUAAACCACUAAAUUAAUCCCAUCUACUCAGAAUUGAGGGCCAACAGAGAAGGCAACAUGUGACAGUGUUCCUUUAAAAAAACAAACCCAGAACCUUUCCACUCCAUCCGUCUGUUUAUCCAUCCAUUCAUCCAUUUAUUCAUUUAUCUGCUCAUCCAUCUGUCUAUUCAUCCAUUGAUCUCAUAUUCAUCAUCCAUCCAUUCAUUCAUACAUUUAUCCAUUUAUUCAUUUCAUUCGUCCAUCCAUCCAUCCAUCCAACCAUCUAUUUAUCCAUCCAUCCAUCCAUCCAUCCAUGCACCAAAUUAUGUAUUCAUCCAUCCAUCCUUAUGUCCAUAGGUCUAUCUGUCCAUCUAUCAAUUAUUAAUUCAUUCAUCUAUUUGUCAUUUAUCCAUUCAUCAACCCAUCAUCUGUUCACCCCUUUAUAUAUUCAUCCAUUAAUUUAUCAUUCAUCCUUCCAUCUUUCCUACUAUUCAUCUGUCCAACAAUCUGUCCAUCCAUCCAUCCCUUCAUCCAUCCAUCUAUCUAUUAAUCCAUCCAUCCAUCCAUCCAUCCCUUCAUCCAUCCAUCUAUUAAUCCAUCAGUACCUCCAUCCGUCCAUCUAUCCAUCCAUCCAUCCAUCCAUCCAUCCAUCCAUCCAUCCAUCCACCAAUGCUUGUAUCCAUCCAUUCAUCCCUAUGUCCAUAGGUCUAUCCACCCAUCCAUCCAUCCAUCUCUCUAUCAUCUUCACCCCUUCUCUAAUCUGGUUUCUGGAGGUCCUGGAUCUUCUCCCAGCUGAUGUUGUUUAUGAGGUGGGUCACAUCCUGGACUGUCCAUCUUCAGCCUUUUUCAGAAGUUCAAACAAACACAAAGACAAACAUAAAAAAUGUGAACAGAUUAUUUUUAUUAACUUGUAAUCGAUCAUCACUCCUCUUUUUUGGUACAAACUUCACUUCCCUUCAAAGAGUUGCAGAUUAAACGUCACAUUUGAGAAGUUAAUUUGUUGUUUAAAUGUUUUUCCUCUCACUCCUGGCCUCGGCUCUGCUGUCUAUCUUGUGUAAAAUCACCAAUUUUGUGCGUUUUCCCUUCACUCCAAUAAUAGCUCCACUCAAAGAGAGCUUACAUUAAAUAUUUAGAUAUGCUUCCAGCAGUUUUGGGUCCUUCUUUGCACGACAUCCAAACAGUUUUUGAGUGUGUUUUAGUGUCACGUGCUACUUUCACCAUGCUCUGUGAUCAAUUAGACAUCUGAUGGUAGUAGGCAGGUUUUCUUAAAGGGACACAAAGAUAAUUGAAGUUUUAGAAAGUCUAUUGUUGCAUUAAAUAGUCUAGCUGACUGAAAGUUAGAAAUGAGUUGUGGUAGUAUUCUGGGCAGGCCAUUGCAGGACUUAUGCAUGCACUCUCAGCGUUGGUUUUUCCAUCUGCUUUAAGCCGAAUUAUUGGAUUAUUGACCCUCAAGCUUCCCCUUUUGAAAAAGUGCCAUCAGAGACAGAACUUUCCUCUGAGGGUCCCCUUCUCUAAUCAUAGGGUCCCAUGUUAAUAUCCAUUCGCCCGCCUCUUACAUGUGACCGGCCUCUCUCUCUGUGGUUCUUACGCUAGCUUUGAUCUGCACGUUAAAAAGUCUCAUUCGAACACAUUCCUCUAAUUGGCGUCCUGUUUUCACAUUAGUUUAAAGGAGAAACUUGAACCCGUGGAGUUUCCAGCGAUUAAGGACAAAGACCUUUGCAUCUUUGUCAGUCACACUGGGCCACUUGUAAUGAGAGAGUGAACAAGUCUCCACCAAGCUGAUUACCGCACAAGCCUAUAAUCUGUGAACAUCUGCAGCUCGACGAGGCUGUCGCCGCUGGUCUCCACACUGUGAGAAAUCUGCCAAUCGCAGAUUUGUCUGCGCUCGCCGUGGAGAAUUACUGCAGUUUGGACUCAAACGUGGUCUUGCUAAAUUGCUUUACCCAACCAAAUGGAAAGCCACACUGAUCAGGUUUAAUUCAGAGUAAUCCUUGAGACACAGUGCUAGUGUGACUGGGAUGUAGGACUCUAUCACUCUGCCAAUGGAAGUGCUGAUAAAUGAGGUUUAUCCUUCAGUUUGAGUACAUUUAUUUAAGGGCUGUUUUCUUUCCUUGCACUCCUCUGAAGUCUUUCCACUUUGUGCCACUUUGCAUUUCUACUUAUUUACAUAUCAGAUAAAUAAAAAGUUUUUCUCUGUGUAAUUUCCAUUUCACAGCAGUUUAAAGUCCCCUUCUAGCAAAGAUUUAACACAAAGCAUAUGAUUACUGAUAAAAAAAAAUUGUGAAUUCUGACAAGAAAGUACUUCUAUCAACUUUUACAGCCUAGUGUGCAAACAGGAUCAUUUUAUCUGGUUUUCUGAUAUGCAGCUAUUCUCAAACUUAAUUAUUUCUGGGCUCAAUUUGAAAUCCACUAAACCAUAAAUCAACCAAACUUGAUAAACCAGGAUUUCAAUAAAGCAUUCAACAGCAUUUCUUUUUGUGUCACUAGGAAAAUUAGAUGUGAAAGUUAUCCAUCCAAGUCCAGUUAUUGAACUUUGGAAUUAAAACUAAAAAAUUGGCUUUUUUCUACAUCAGAUGUGCUUUUGAGUCCUGUUUCCAUAUGCAUGCCAGGCCAGCAGGUGACGAUCGUGUGUUAGCAGUCUGUCAAAUCAAAACACUAAAGAGGAACAUUGUACACAUGCCUAUAGAGUCUUCAUAAGCAAUAGCCAGUCAGAGACAGUGAUCCUUAUAUUGUGGAUGGAUUGGUGGAUUAAAAGCUUUUAAGUGUGAUUCAUUGAUCUGCUUCCAUGCUGCUGUAUCCUGAAGAACAGGGAGGUUAACUUUAUUUUUUUUUAGUGACCUAAAAUUCAGAAAUCAAAUAUUAAAAUACUACUUUUAUUUCAAAUAUGUCCCAAACUUCUGCCACCUCAGUAACCAUGUUUUUAAAAAUCUUACUGACACAUUUAACAACCUGAUAAAUAUCGUUUACUUUAGCCUUGCUCUCUUUAUAAAUAUGUAAAUUAUAUUCUUUUGGCAGCUUUAGUUCACUAAUUUGCAUUUCAUGUCUCAUGAGACAGAAUCUCACCCAAACUGAAAGGUAAAGAGUUUAAGUUGUGGUUGUAUGUGGUGCAAACAGGAACUAUUUUUUGUCCAGUAAGCAGCGGAAACACAGUUUUCUUGCUAAUAUCAGAAAGAGGCAGCUGGAGAUCACAUUAGCUUAGCUUGUAGCAGAGAGACAAGAAUCAGGGCCCAGACUUGAACCAUUUAAAAAGACUUUUCUAUUGAAAAUGGGUAAGUUAGGGAUCAAAAAACUUUUUAAAAACAUUCUAAGUGCAGUUAUCAAUGUAUUUGGAACAAGCAGAAAGUUAUCAGGGCUAAAUGAAAUCAUGCUAAAGUUAGCCUCUGUGAACCUGCGUUUAAAAGAUUUUAGGAGUGUUUUUUUCCCUCCAAAUUCAUCACUUUGCCGGAAUUUAAAGCUCCUGUGAGGAACUUUUUGCUUGUGUCAAAUCUAAUGCCCCCCUGUGGACAAAAAUGUCUUUGCUUAACUUUCUUCAUCCUUUAAUAGCGUCUCAUAAUAGCAAGUUUUGACAGUGAAAUAUAUUUAUUUUGAAUAUUCUAAGCAGAAGUCAUAAAAAGGGGAUGGUUUUUCAGGAAAUUUCUGGUCAUCCUUAACAGUGACGUGGAUAAAACUAUGGCAUUAUAGAAAUGUCGAUACUGAAACAUACAGCAGCUUUUUGGACAUUCAAAACUGGAAUAACAGGAUGAAAUGAAACAUCUUUUUUUAUAUAUUUAACAGUGUGAACACGUGCUUGGCUCAGCUGUGAGCUGGACUCCGGUUAAGGUGCUUCACUUGCAGUUUUUCCCAGGUUUCGAACACACAGCGGCUCAUUGUUGGAGCGAUUCUUCAUCCUCACUCGGUGCGCGAAUGAGGUGAGCUGCUGUAAGCUACGCGCUCCUGUGACUGUUAAGACUGUGCCAUGCUGGCAGACCAAGUGAGGCAAAUCCAGUAUAUCCCAAUUAUACAGCGGAGCGCUUUACUCCACUUACUGAACUAAGUGCAUUACCCACUAAUCAGUGCCUGGCUGUACUUGUUGGAGCAUGACCUUCCUCAUAUUCAUGCCAAGGUAAGAGCUGCUGGCAAAUCAGCUCUAAUUUCACCACCACAGUGAAUUCACAUUAUACAUGCAAAUUACUACGUCUUAUUCAUUAUUUAGAAAAGGUUUUCUCUCUCCAACAAACCAGCUCACAUUAGCAUAUAUGCUGCUGUAAAAUAAACAUGUAUGAAUAAAUUUUGAGCUGCGCUUGUGGAGAUUACACUGAAUAUUUCUCACUGGUGCCGUGUCCUUAAACUCGAACACAGCACAUCUCUUUAUACAAUGGAUAUGUUGAGCUUAAUGGCUUGUGAGGCAGGAGGACAUUUUUAUUCAUUUGGAGUCUGUUUUUGACCAACAGGCGAAAAACUCCACUGAGUGCUCUAGUUUGAUGUUCUGCUUUGAGUUGCUGCUAAAGGAAAUAGUUUACAGAGAGUUUUAGAAGUUAAAAGUUGCUGCUCAACAGCUAAAUGAUGAGAUGAAACUCACUGAAGCUCUACAGACUGAGAGGAAAGGCAGAUCUGUUUGUUUGUUUGUUUUUGUUUGAUUUAUUACUUUGAGGGAUUUUUCACAUUUUUCAAGGUUAUGUACCGCUGAAUGUUUCAAAAUCAACAUUAUUGUGUGUUUUUUGCAGGUCACAUUCCAGUCUGACCAUCUAUACAAUAUGCAAUUUGCAAAAAACAAUAAAAUGGGUCUGUGCAACUCUAAAUAUAUACGUAUAUUGCAAUUAUUUUUCUUAUCCACAACAUGCAUAUCUAUAAAAACAAACUAGAUAAAUGUAGUGUAGCAACUUGAAGUGCUCAGAAUGCUUAAUAAAACAAUUAUCCAAACUAUUAUUUGGAUCUCUAUGUCUAUUUUCCGCCUUCAAAUCAAACUCCACAACUGCGUCCAGUCCUCUGCAGCAGCUCAAACACCUGCACCGAGAACCAGGGGGACAAGAAGAGGAGCAUAUGGUCUACGGGAAGAGCGACGUGUUAUUGUUUAAAGUGUACUGAUAAGUGUAACAGACAUACCUGCCAAAGCCUGCAGCAGGAAGAACACACCUCCUCUCUGCUUCAUGUGCAUAUCUGGAAAUAAAGCACGUCUGUUUUUAUUCAGUUUGUUGCUCAAAGUAAAAAGAAGUCUGAGGAUCUUGGGGUCUUCUUGAAAGUGCACGUUGUGACUGACCAGUCUAUCUACGUUCUCACCCUCAUCUUGGGUCAUGAUCUUUGGGUUGUGACUGAAGGAGUGAGAUAUCAAUACAGUAUACAACCAAAUUAAGUUUCCUAUAAAGGGCGACUGGACUGGAGUGGUUGAUGCUCCUUUGCACCAGGAGGAGUCAGCUGAGGCGUCUCAUUAGGAUACCUCCUGCACGCCUCCUUUUAGAGGUGCGCCUAACUGGUAGGACGCCCCAGGGCAGACCUGGAGCUCAAUGAGAACGCCUCAGGAUCCGCCAGGGGGAGCAGGAAAUCAUUGCUGGGGGAGAAAUUGCUCGGAAGUGGGGUUAACUUGCUGCCUUAUCAACCUGACGCUGGAUAAAUUUAUGAAAAUCUGCAUCUAAAUCAGCGCCUUCAGGAUGACUAGUUCAGGUUAUAUCUCAAAUGUUGAAUUUAUACCCAAACUGAAAAGUCAAGCAGCUCUUUAUCUUGAUGUUUUGAGCUUCUUGUUACAUAACAGUGACUAUCUGCUCGCUAAAACCUGAUAUUUGACUCAGGUAUGCACCUAAAAAUGUCCAACAGAAGUACCUUAAACUUUAUCUUUGCUCUCAGUAGGAGAGCUCGAUCUGUUCUCUGCUGUUGUUUGUUCUGUCCUGAAGCCAACAGAGAGACAUCAUGUUUUAUUUUGACAGUACGAGAGUCUCUUAUCACCUGAUACCUGUCAGAUGAUUCUGGUUAAACAGGAGGUUUUGUCCCAGUGUGGUACAAGGAAAUGUUUGACAAGUAUUCCAAGUAUAUGUUGCUCGACAACAGGAGGGUUUAAAACUAUAAAAAGUAUGCCUCUGAAAUGUCAGAAAUCACUUUGGUUUGUCUGUUUCUGGUCCUUGUAUUUCUCACACAUGUACCGGCUCUAACAGGAAGGUACAGGUUGAAAAUGAAACAAGAGGAAAAUUUCCGUGCCUCCUUUUUGCCCUCACUUAUGUCAGUUGCGUUCUGGUUUUUCCGCUUACAGUCUAAAUACUUCCAGCGGAAUCCAAAAAUCGGAAAUCUGACUUAAUGUGGAUUGAGUUACGGCCGGUAACCUCUCAGCAACCCCCUCAAAGUUUCAUGAAUGCUUUUGGGAAAUCAUCUGGGGCAAAAAGUCUCUCUGGAAUCUCUGGCUAUCUGGGACAACCUAAAUCCUGCACUUAUGAUAAUCCAUCCGUUGCAGCACCAUGUAUUCGGUUGCUGUGACACAGGACUGAACCAAAGCAGAUUUCCUGUGAUCUAAAAAACCCGGAUGGCAUACAGCGAGCCUGAGCCAGGCCCUCUUACGCAAGUCCAGCCAGCUGUGGCUGCUGGGCUGUGCGUGCAGAGAAUGUGUUUACAUAACGCCCAUUUGGGCUUCUUUCUCUUCACACAGCAGGUCCUAUACAAAGUUCAGAGCGUGCAGAGAGGAGGCUUUUUAUUUAUUUAUAUUCAAACUGUUUUUAACGGCAUGUUUUUGGGACACUUUUGAAAGUAGGUCUCUUGGUAGGCAGUUUUUAAAAUCUCAACCUUUACAUAUUUUAUCCUCUGUGUCUCUGGGGUUGAUUUUGAUCUAAAGUACUUUCGAAUAUACCUCCUAAGCUGGUAGAACAAUGUGGAAAUGAAACUUUUUAUACAUCUAAGAGGUGCAGAAUGAGCAGGUUUGUUGCAAAACGUUUUUGGCAAACCAAUUCAUCAAAAAGUUAAGUUGCAGAAUUAAAGCUACUGUAAGGAAUUUUGGGCUAGUUUUAAAACAAACUGAAAUUCACACUGAUGUCUCUAUAUGACCAAUCAAAGCAAGCCAGAUCACUUGGAUAAAGACCAAAUAUUCCAAUAAAGGUUAUUUAUCAUUUUAAAGUUCAUUUAUCUCCCAACUAAGCUAGCAAAAACAGAUGUUUUUAAAUAUUUCUACAACUUUCCCUGAGAGUUGCAUGUUGGACAUCUCUGAUAAAGAUGAUUCAUUUGUCAGAAAAAAACACUACUAUAUGUGCAGGGCAAGUUUAGCCAAAAGACCCUGUUAUCUCCACUGGGGGUACCGAACAUAGCAAAACCCCAAAAGUUUUUAACAGGAGGUUUAAAAUGACAAAAAAACUGAGCAACAGAUCUAUAAAAAUGAUGCAACCCUCCAGAGUUGCAGUACAUUUAAAUUAGAGAAUUAUCACCCAGAUAUAGAAAUCCUUUUGUUUUAGCUAACUUAGAUGUAGUCUUAUUUAAUUACAACAUAAAGAGUGGGUCAUCCUCCACAGAGACUGCCAUCUUGCACCAGCAUGUUUCUAUGGUGACACAGAACAGACUUAUAAUAACGUGUGUUUUGUG
rnacentral:lncRNA from 1 species